AAGGGGCAGUAAGGCGUGGGUAACCUGCCUCGGAGUUGGGGAUAGCCUCUCUAACGAGAGGGUAAUACCCGAUGUCAUGUCGGAGGGGCCUCCUUCUGACAUGAAAGCUCAGGCGCUCCGAGAGGGGCCCACGUGAUAUUAGCUUGUUGGUGAGGUAACGGCUCACCAAGGCCAAGAUGUCUAGCAGGUGUGAGAGCACGACCUGCGCCACUGGCACUGGGACACUGGCCAGACUCCUACGGGAGGCUGCAGUCGAGGAUCUUCGGCAAUGGGCGCAAGCCUGACCGAGCGACGCCGCGUGUGCGAUGAAGGCCUUCGGGUUGUAAAGCACUGUCGGGGGGAAGAAAAGCCGCAAGGCUUGAUCGACCCCCGGAGGAAGCACGGGCUAAGUUCGUGCCAGCAGCCGCGGUAAGACGAACCGUGCGAACGUUGUUCGGAAUCACUGGGCUUAAAGGGCGCGUAGGCGGGCAGGCAAGUCAGGGGUGAAAGCCCACGGCUCAACCGUGGAAGUGCCUUUGAUACUGCUUGUCUUGAGGGAGGUAGGGGCGUGCGGAACUUCCGGUGGAGCGGUGAAAUGCGU
rnacentral:rRNA from 1 species